rnacentral:rRNA from 1 species
CGUGCCUAACACAUGCAAGUCGUACGAGAAAGCCGGCUUCGGCUGGUGAGUAAAGUGGCGCACGGGUGAGUAACGCGUGGAUAAUCUGCCCUUAAGUGUGGAAUAACGUACCGAAAGGUGCGCUAAUACCGCAUAAUGCCUGGCAACACAAGUUGUCCGGCCAAAGAAGGCCUCUGUUUACAAGCUUUCGCUUCAGGAUGAGUCCGCGUACCAUUAGCUUGUUGGUGGGGUAAUGGCCUACCAAGGCUGCGAUGGUUAGCUGGUCUGAGAGGAUGAUCAGCCACACUGGAACUGAGACACGGUCCAGACUCCUACGGGAGGCAGCAGUGAGGAAUAUUGCGCAAUGGGGGCAACCCUGACGCAGCAACGCCGCGUGAGUGAGGAAGGUUUUCGGAUUGUAAAGCUCUGUCGAGCGGAAAGAAAUGCGCGAUGGCUAAUAUCCAUCAUGCUUGACGGUACCGCUAGAGGAAGCACCGGCUAACUACGUG